rnacentral:rRNA from 1 species
AGCGAACGCUGGCGGCAGGCUUAACACAUGCAAGUCGAGCGGGCAUCCUUGUGGUGUCAGCGGCAGACGGGUGAGUAACGCGUGGGAACGUGCCCUUCGGUUCGGAAUAACUCAGGGAAACUUGAGCUAAUACCGGAUACGUGCGAGAGCAGAAAGGUUUAUCUGCCGAAGGAUCGGCCCGCGUCUGAUUAGCUAGUUGGUGAGGUUACGGCUCACCAAGGCGACGAUCAGUAGCUGGUCUGAGAGGAUGAUCAGCCACACUGGGACUGAGACACGGCCCAGACUCCUACGGGAGGCAGCAGUGGGGAAUAUUGGACAAUGAGGGCAACCCUGAUCCAGCCAUGCCGCGUGAGUGAUGACGGCCUUAGGGUUGUAAAGCUCUUUUCUCCGGGACGAUAAUGACGGUACCGGAGGAAUAAGCCCCGGCUAACUUCGUG